UAGCUGGUUUCUCNNGANAAGAAUUUAAGUCCAACCUAAAAGUAAUCUCGAUUCACAUAAAUCACCCCACCACUUUAGAGCAAUUCAAAUGAGGUACAGCCCAUUUGAUACAGGAUACAACCUUAACUAACGGGUAACAUUAAAUCUACACCUUCAAGUAGGCCUAAGAGCAGCCACCCUUAAAAGCGUCAAAGCUUAAUCAUGUUUACAUCAAUUUAAAAUCUCCCAUUGACCCCUUUAACUUUACUGAGAAUUUCUAUAUCAUAUAGAACAUUUUAUGCUAAGACUAGUAACAAGAGAAAACCCUCUCCCAAUGCAAACACAAGCCAGCAAGAACCCAUCACUGGCAACUAACAGACCUAGACAAAAGUAGCAACAUCACUAGAAAACCCUACUUCUCACAACUGUUAACCUAACACCAGAGCAUUUCAGGGAAGAUUAAAAGAAAAAGAAGGAACUCGGCAAACACCAAUCCCGCCUGUUUACCAAAAACAUCGCCUCUUGUUACUAUAAGAGGUCAAGCCUGCCCAGUGACUUUGUUCAACGGCCGCGGUAUCCUAACCGUGCGAAGGUAGCGUAAUCACUUGUUUUCUAAAUAAAGACCAGUAUGAAAGGCAUCACGAGGAUUAAACUGUCUCCUUUUUCCAAUCAGUGAACCUAAUCUCCCCGUGAAGAAGCGGGGAUUAUCCUAUAAGACG
rnacentral:rRNA from 1 species